GUCAAUAUUUCAUCUCCACUAUCUGAUGUGAAUUUCUAGAAUGCAUAUAUGGAAGGAAUAUGAAGAUUUGAAGUUGACAUCUCGAAGAAGUAGUUAAAGCUGGAAAUGACCAUACUUUGGGUUUUGUUACUAGUGGAUCUGCUCUAUUGCAUGGUGCUACUCAGACAAGUGCCUCACCCUGGUCUUCAGCAUCAAUGAUAUUUCCUCCAGCCCUAGGCAUGCCUUUAAAUGCUGAAUGGAAUGGCUGCAUGAUCAAGUUGUGGAAAAGUUUACUUGCAUACCAUCUCCAAGGAUCUGGCACAUCUAAUAGUUUCACUUUGGUUCUUCAGCAGUUUCUUUCGAAAUUGCUCAUUACACUUCUGGGGUGAGUACGAACUACAGAAAAUUUUUGUUUUUGGUUAAGUUAAAAUAUGUAUUUAUCGGAAUCAUGGAAGUU